CCCUUAGAUGUUCUGGGCUGCACGCGCGCUACACUGAUGCACUCAACGAGUUUACGACCUUGCCCGAUAGGGUUGGGUAAUCUUUUUAAAAUGCAUCGUGAUGGGGAUAGAUUAUUGCAAUUAUUAAUCUUCAACGAGGAAUUCCUAGUAAGCGCGAGUCAUCAGCUCGUGCUGAUUACGUCCCUGCCCUUUGUACACACCGCCCGUCGCUCCUACCGAUUGAGUGCUCAGGUGAAUAAUUCGGACUGCAGCAAUGUUUGGAUCCCGAACGUUGCAGCGGAAGGUUUAGUGAACCUUAUCACUUAGAGGAAGGAGAAGUCGUAACA
rnacentral:rRNA from 1 species